CAUAUUGAGGAGACAGAGACUAAUGAAAUGUUAGAGCCAAACCUCUACACUGAGUCUGGUCUUACAAAUUACCGAGCAAGAAACAACGAACAUAUUGAGGAAACAGAGACUAAUGAACUGUUAGAACCAAACCACGAAGAGCUAAGUACUACAGACACAGAAGCAGUAUACUCCAGAUUUAU